GUUUCUGUAGUGUAGUGGUUAUCAUAUUUGCCCAACACGCAGAAGGUCCCUGGUUCAAAACCAGAAAGAAACA